GUGUGCAUGAUCUUGCCUGGUGGUGAGGGCAGGCUUCAAACCUGUGGGGGAGUGAUAUCCCAGUGGUUCGAUUCCACCUUGCGCACG
rnacentral:tRNA from 1 species